rnacentral:rRNA from 1 species
AUGGUUUUGACCACCCCUGAAUAUUACGUGAUGCAUGUCUCCAAUUGUAUCCAAUCUAGACAGAGUGGACUUUGUCUUAACAUCAGCCUUAGCUUCACAACAAAAUUCCUUCUUCGAUUAGUAGAGAAGCACUAUCAAUAUCUCAAUAAGCUUUUUGGAUAUUUCAGACAUGAUAUUCAGUUCAGAGAGGCGGACAUAGCUGAGGCAAUGAUGCGGCUCGCGUUCGUCUCACCGUUUAUUACCUUACUCAAGCUAAUUUUGUCUUGUUGA